UCAACCAUCAAGCUCGGCUUGUUAUUGGGUCCACGUAUCGGUAAAAGAUAGGCCCGAAAGAUAAUGGCGGUGUCGAGAUUUGACCCCAGGUGCAGCGAGCUUGUAAGCAUACACUGAGGUGGUCUUCUCGGCCUGGCCUUGUCAAACCCAUAUUUUCCAAAA
rnacentral:misc_RNA from 1 species